ACUAAUAACUGUGUUGUUUCAAUGUUUCCAGGGCGGAGAAACACAUCUUAAAGACAUUCCUAAUGGUAUGCUUUCUUUUUGUUUUUUUUAACCCACACUUGACUAUGCCUUUGGUUUUGGAAAAAUAAAUGGAAAGCCUUCAAUCAAUUAUUGUUUCUACUAAGAUGGUUGUUCUGAAACUUACGUGCACUUGUGCUAUAGUCAUGGUACUUUGAAUAAUAAUUAUAUGAGAAUUGAGAUUAUUGGUUAUAUCUACCAAAAGGAGAAUUGAUAAGGUUCUAUCAAUUACUGUGAGUUUACUCAUGUAUUUUAAUUGUUACAGGACAAAGAAACAUUUUGUUCUUUAAUAUAAAAUUCUAUAGAUAUUUAGUAGCAUUAAAUUGGAAACAUUUUCAUUUUAUUUUGAUAGAAAGUGUUGUCUUACAAAUCUCUACUCUUAGCCUUUUGUCAGUUGUACCUGACUCUAAUUUAAUUAGUUGUAUUUCCUAUGCUUCAAGUUUUUCCUGUAUGGUCGGUUAGCAUGUAUAUUUGAUGAGGUUGAUCUAUUAAUUUCUACCAUGAUUUAUAAAUAGCAUGUGAAAACUUAAAACUGCAUCAUAUAUGAUUUCGUGUAGCUUCUUUGUCGGAAUUGGUAUAGGGUCUGUGAUAUUAGAUGAUGUAAUAAGAUUUAGCACACACCUUCUUUUUGAUAAAAUGAGCUGUUUUAAUGUGAUUUUUUGCAGUGGCUUUCAAGUUGUCGAAGAGAAAAGUUGAUGGGAAUCUGGAGCUUCUUCAUACAAUUCUUUUUGGCAACAAAGCAAAGGUGGGAGAAACUCUUUUAAAGUAGCACAAGAAGAAUUUACUAAAGCUGGACUUCUCUUUAAAACUCCUUUAGCAUAAGUACUGGUGACAUCAUCUUUUAUACUUUUCCCUCUUUCUGGGUCCCACGAACUUCUUCGAGAUUUACACUUACUUUUUUCGCAAAAUUACGACCAACGGGAGUGGAUAGAACCGAUCCGUCAUUCUUUGUUUUCGAAUCGACAAUGUGUAUUCUUUUUAUAUUUAAAUCAUGUGCUUUAGUAAUUUUUGGAGCUUCGAUCAUUUUAGUUCUUUGUGUUUAUCAAACUCCAUGAAGAAUGAUGUGGAUGUUGACAAUUAGUGUUCGUUUUUUAUUGUAUAUUUAUUAUCAACCAGUUCAAAUUGUUUUGCAACCA